rnacentral:rRNA from 1 species
UGGGGAAUUUUGGACAAUGGGGGCAACCCUGAUCCAGCAAUGCCGCGUGUGUAAAGAAGGCCUUCGGGUUGUAAAGCACUUUUGUCCGGAAAGAAAACGUCGUGGUUAAUACCCGUGGCGGCUGACGGUACCGGAAGAAUAAGCACCGGCUAACUACGUGCCAGCAGCCGCGGUAAUACGUAGGGUGCAAGCGUUAAUCGGAAUUACUGGGCGUAAAGCGUGCGCAGGCGGUCCGCUAAGACAGAUGUGAAAUCCCCGGGCUUAACCUGGGAACUGCAUUUGUGACUGGCGGGCUAGAGUAUGGCAGAGGGGGGUAGAAUUCCACGUGUAGCAGUGAAAUGCGUAGAGAUGUGGAGGAAUACCGAUGGCGAAGGCAGCCCCCUGGGCCAAUACUGACGCUCAUGCACGAAAGCGUGGGGGAGCAAACAGGAUUCAGAUACCCUGGUAGUCCACGCCCUAAACGAUGUCAACUAGUUGUUGGGGAUUCAUUCCUUAGUAACGUAGCUAACGCGUGAAGUUGACCGCCUGGGGAGUACGUCGCAAGAUUAAAACUCAAAUGAAUUGACGGGGUCU